rnacentral:rRNA from 1 species
AUACGUAGGGUGCGAGCGUUGUCCGGAAUUACUGGGCGUAAAGAGCUCGUAGGUGGUUUGUCGCGUCGUCUGUGAAAUUCCGGGGCUUAACUCCGGGCGUGCAGGCGAUACGGGCAUAACUUGAGUACUGUAGGGGAGACUGGAAUUCCUGGUGUAGCGGUGAAAUGCGCAGAUAUCAGGAGGAACACCGGUGGCGAAGGCGGGUCUCUGGGCAGUAACUGACGCUGAGGAGCGAAAGCAUGGGUAGCGAACAGGAUUAGAUACCCUGGUAGUCCAUGCCGUAAACGGUGGGCGCUAGGUGUAGGGGUCUUCCACGACUUCUGUGCCGUAGCUAACGCAUUAAGCGCCCCGCCUGGGGGGUACGGCCGCAAGGCUAAAACUCAAAUGAAUUGGCGGGG